CUACGGGGGGCUGCAGUGAGGAAUAUUGGUCAAUGGGCGAGAGCCUGAACCAGCCAUCCCGCGUGCAGGAUGACGGCCCUAUGGGUUGUAAACUGCUUUUCUAUGCCAAGAAUAGUUACUACGUGUAGUGAUUUGACGGUAGCAUAGGAAUAAGCAUCGGCUAACUCCGUGCCAGCAGCCGCGGUAAUACGGAGGAUGCAAGCGUUAUCCGGAUUCAUUGGGUUUAAAGGGUGCGCAGGUGGGUUUGUAAGUCAGUGGUGAAAUACUGCCGCUUAACGGUAGAACUGCCAUUGAUACUGCAAAUCUUGAAUAUGGUUGAGGUAGGCGGAAUGUGUUGUGUAGCGGUGAAAUGCAUAGAUAUGACACAGAACGCCGAUUGCGAAGGCAGCUUACUAAGCCAUUAUUGACGCUGAGGCACGAAAGCGUGGGGAGCGAACAGGAUUAGAUACCCUGGUAGUC
rnacentral:rRNA from 1 species